rnacentral:rRNA from 1 species
UACGUAGGAUGCAAGCGUUGUCCGGAAUUACUGGGCGUAAAGGGCGAGUAGGCGGCCACUCAAGUCAGAUGUGAAAUAGCCCGGCUUAACUGAGGAAGUGCAUCCAAAACUGAAUAGCUAGAGUACGAAAGAGGGUCGCGGAAUUCCCGGUGUAGAGGUGAAAUUCGUAGAUAUCGGGAGGAACACCGGUGGCGAAGGCGGCGACCUGGGUCGAGACUGACGCUGAGGCGCGAAAGCGUGGGGAGCGAACAGG